GAUGAACGCUGGCGGCGUGCCUAACACAUGCAAGUCGAACGAAAGGACCAGAUUCUUGCUUCUCUGAUGUUAGCGGCGGACGGGUGAGUCACACGUGGACAACCUACCUCUAAGACUGGGAUACCUUCGGCAAACCGUAGCUACUAACGGAUAAUAUUUUGACCUGCAUGGUUCACAAGUGAAAGACGGUCUUGCGGUCACUUAUAGACGGAUCCGCGCUGCAUUAGCUAGUUGGCUAGGUAACGGCUUAACAAGGCAACGAUGCAUAGCCGACCUGAGAGCGAGAUCGGCCACACUGGAGGUGAGACACGGCAGAGACACUUAGGGGAGGCAACAGUAGGGAAUCUUCCGCGAUGGGGGAAAGCCUGACGGAGGAAAGCCGCGUGAAUGAUGAAGGUCCUCGGAUGGGAAAGCGCUGUUAGUAGUGAAGAACACAUGUGUUAGUAACUGUGCUCAUCAUGACGGUACCGAGUCAAAAAGCCACGGCUAACUACGUG
rnacentral:rRNA from 1 species